rnacentral:rRNA from 1 species
AUGGGCAGGUCGAGUGGGCCAAUGGACUCAUCCUGUCCGGCAUCAAGACGUGACUCGUCGAGCCACUUGUCCGCUCACCCGGCAGUUGGCUCGACGAGUUGCCCAUGGUUCUCUGGAGUCUGCACGACACCAAACCGGUCGACCGGGUUCAUCCCGUUCUUCCUCAUCUACGGAUCCGAAGCCAUCAUCCCGACCGACGCCGAGUUCGACUCGCCGCGCGUCACGAUGUACACCGAAGCAGAAGCAAGAGAAGCAUGCGAAGACGGCGUCGACCUGCUCGAAGAGGUGCGCCUUCUGGCACUUAGCCGCUCGGCUAUCUACCAGCAAGGCCUGAGGCACUACCACAGCAAGAAGAUCAAGCCUCUCGCAGCGCAUUCCGCGAAGGCGACCUCGUCCUCCGACUCGUCCAAGAGCAGGCAGGCCAGCACAAGCUGUCCUCUCCAUGGAAGGCCCGUUCAUCGUGAGCAGGGCUUUGCGCGACCACAACGCCUGCUACCUCAUUGA